rfam:Myotis brandtii contig218827, whole genome shotgun sequence.
AGGCCUGAAGAGAGAAGCAGUGUCUGAUCCGCAGCCUCCGGGGCGGCUGUUGAUCAGCCAUGGCCUCUCUCUUUCUCUCCC